UUUUAUAGUUUCUUUGUUAUAUUUUAUUCAGACUGUGGUCAAUUCACCGUACAGACCGUCAGCUGUGAUUUUAUAUAGUUUCUUUGUUAUAUUUUUAUUCAGAUUGCGGUUAAUUCACCGUACAGACCGUCAGCUGUGAUUUUAUACUUUCUUUGUUAUAUAUUUAUUCAGAUUGCGGUUAAUUCACCGUACAGACUGUCAGCUGUGAUUUUAUAGUUUCUUUGUUAUAUUUUAUUCAGAUUGUGGUGUUGUGAUUUUAUACAGUUUCUUUGUUAUAUUUUAUUCAGAUUGUGGUUAAUUCACCGUACAGACCGUCAGCUGUGAUUUUAUAUAGUUUCUUUGUUAUAUUUUUAUUCAGACUGCGGUUAAUUCACCGUACAAACCGUCAGCUGUGAUUUUAUAGUUUCUUUGUUAUAUAUUAUUCAGAUUGCGGUUAAUUCACCGUACAGACCGUCAGCUGUGAUUUUAUAUAGUUUCUU